rnacentral:rRNA from 1 species
UUUAGAUUUAGAACGUCGUGAGACAGUUCGGUCCCUAUCUGCCGUGGGCGCUGGAGAACUGAGGGGGGCUGCUCCUAGUACGAGAGGACCGGAGUGGACGCAUCACUGGUGUUCGGGUUGUCAUGCCAAUGGCACUGCCCGGUAGCUAAAUGCGGAAGAGAUAAGUGCUGAAAGCAUCUAAGCACGAAACUUGCCCCGAGAUGAGUUCUCCCUGAGACUUWRAGUCUCCUGAAGGAACGUUGAAGACGACGACGUUGAUAGGCCGGGUGUGUAAGCGCAGCGAUGCGUUGAGCUAACCGGUACUAAUGAACCGUGAGGCUUAACCUU